GAUGAACGCUGGCGGCGUGCCUAAUACAUGCAAGUCGAGCGAACGGACGAGAAGCUUGCUUCUCUGAUGUUAGCGGCGGACGGGUGAGUAACACGUGGAUAACCUACCUAUAAGACUGGGAUAACUUCGGGAAACCGGAGCUAAUACCGGAUAAUAUUUUGAACCGCAUGGUUCAAAAGUGAAAGACGGUCUUGCUGUCACUUAUAGAUGGAUCCGCGCUGCAUUAGCUAGUUGGUAAGGUAACGGCUUACCAAGGCAACGAUGCAUAGCCGACCUGAGAGGGUGAUCGGACACAAUGGAACUGAGACACGGUCCAGACUCCUACGGGAGGCAGCAGUAGGGAAUCUUCCGCAAUGGGCGAAAGACUGACGGAGCAACGCCGCGUGAGUGAUGAAGGUCUUCGGAUCGUAAAACUCUGUUAUUAGGGAAGAACAUAUGUGUAAGUAACUGUGCACAUCUUGACGGUACUUAAUCAGAAAGCCACGGCUAACUACGUG
rnacentral:rRNA from 1 species